rnacentral:rRNA from 1 species
AGCGAACGCUGGCGGAAUGCUUAACACAUGCAAGUCGCACGGGGGCUUCGGCUCGAGUGGCGGACGGGUGAGUAACGCGUAGGAACGUGUCUUGGGGUGGGGGAUAACGCGGGGAAACUGGUGCUAAUACCGCAUCUGGGCUGAGGCCCAAAGCCUUCGGGUGCCUUGUGAGCGGCCUGCGUCCGAUUAGCUAGUUGGUGGGGUAACUGCUUACCAAGGCGACGAUCGGUAGCUGGUCUGUGAGGACGAUCAGCCACACUGGGCACUGAGACACGGCCCAGACUCCUACGGGAGGCAGCAGUGGGGAAUAUUGGACAAUGGGCGGAAGCCUGAUCCAGCAAUUCCGCGUGGGUGAAGAAGGUCUUCGGAUUGUAAAGCCCUUUCGACAGAGACGAUGAUGACGGUACCUGUAGAAGAAGCCCCGGCUAACUUCGUGCCAGCCGCCGCAGUAA